GACGAACGCUGGCGGCGUGCUUAACACAUGCAAGUCGAACGGAAAGGCCCUGCUUUUGUGGGGUGCUCGAGUGGCGAACGGGUGAGUAACACGUGAGUAACCUGCCCUUGGCUUUGGGAUAACUUCAGGAAACUGGGGCUAAUACCGGAUAGGAGCUCCUGCUGCAUGGUGGGGGUUGGAAAGUUUCGGCGGUUGGGAUGGACUCGCGGCUUAUCAGCUUGUUGGUGGGGUAGUGGCUUACCAAGGCUUUGACGGGUAGCCGGCCUGAGAGGGUGACCGGCCACAUUGGGACUGAGAUACGGCCCAGACUCCUACGGGAGGCAGCAGUGGGGAAUAUUGCACAAUGGGCGGAAGCCUGAUGCAGCAACGCCGCGUGCGGGAUGACGGCCUUCGGGUUGUAAACCGCUUUCGCCUGUGACGAAGCGUGAGUGACGGUAAUGGGUAAAGAAGCACCGGCUAACUACGUG
rnacentral:rRNA from 1 species